AUUGAACGCUGGCGGCAUGCCUUACACAUGCAAGUCGAACGGUAACAGGUCUUCGGAUGCUGACGAGUGGCGAACGGGUGAGUAAUACAUCGGAACGUGCCUAGUAGUGGGGGAUAACUACUCGAAAGAGUGGCUAAUACCGCAUGAGAUCUACGGAUGAAAGCAGGGGAUCGCAAGACCUUGUGCUACUAGAGCGGCCGAUGGCGGAUUAGGUAGUUGGUGGGAUAAAAGCUUACCAAGCCGACGAUCUGUAGCUGGUCUGAGGGGACGAUUAGCCACACUGGGACUGAGACACGGCCCAGACUCCUACGGGAGGCAGCAGUGGGGAAUUUUGGACAAUGGGCGAAAGCCUGAUCCAGCAAUGCCGCGUGCAGGAUGAAGGCCUUCGGGUUGUAAACUGCUUUUGUACGGAACGAAAAGCCCCGGGUUAAUACCCUGGGGUCAUGACGGUACCGUAAGAAUAAGCACCGGCUAACUACGUGCCAGCCGCCGCCGUAA
rnacentral:rRNA from 1 species